UACGUAGGCAGCGAGCGUUGUUCGGAGUUACUGGGCGUAAAGAGUGCGUAGGCGGUUUUCUAAGUUUGGUGUGAAAUCUCCCGGCUCAACUGGGAGGGUGCGCCGAAGACUGGAAGGCUUGAGUAUGGGAGAGGUAAGCGGAAUUCCUGGUGUAGCGGUGAAAUGCGUAGAUAUCAGGAGGAACACCUGCGGUGUAGACGGCUUACUGGACCAUAACUGACGCUGAGGCACGAAAGCGUGGGGAGCGAACAGG
rnacentral:rRNA from 1 species